rnacentral:rRNA from 1 species
UACGGAGGAUGCGAGCGUUAUCCGGAUUUAUUGGGUUUAAAGGGUGCGUAGGCGGGCUUUUAGGUCAGCGGUAAAAAUUCGGGGCUCAACCCCGUCCGGCCGUUGAAACUGGGGAUCUUGAGUGGGCGAGAAGAAGGCGGAAUGCGUGGUGUAGCGGUGAAAUGCAUAGAUAUCACGCAGAACCCCGAUUGCGAAGGCAGCCUUCCGGCGCCCUACUGACGCUGAGGCACGAAAGUGCGGGGAUCGAACAGG